UGAACCUGAGGCUGAAGCUGAGGCUAAAACUGAACCUGAAGCUGAACCUGAGGCUGAAGCCGUUGCUGAAGAAAGAAAGCCAGAAGACACAGAAACAGAGAACAGCACAUCUCUGGAUGGAGCAAAAGGCAACAAUGCAGACCAGCCAGCCGAAAGCAUCAGGAAAGGAAACGAGAAAAAGAAAUGGACCAGGAGAGGAACACGAGGCAGAGGGAGAAAGAUCAAUUACGAAAAAUUACAGGCCAACAAAGCAGAAGAAGAUAAGGCUGAAGCUGUUGCUGAAGCAGAGACUAAAGUUGAGGCUGAAGUAGAUGCUAAAGAUGAGGUUGAAGCUGAGGCUGACCCUGAAGAAAGAAAGCCAGAAGGUGCUGAAACAGAGAACAGCACAUUCCUGGUAAACGGCAAUAAGACGGAGAAGACUGUUGAAAACAGUGGGAAUGGAAAUGAGAAAAAGAAAAGGACCAGGAGAGGGACACGAGGAAAAGGAAGGAAGAUAAAUUACAAAAAGUUCCAGGCCAACAAAGAAG